rnacentral:rRNA from 1 species
UACAGAGGGUGCGAGCGUUGUUCGGAAUUAUUGGGCGUAAAGGGCGCGUAGGCGGCGCCACAAGUCACUUGUGAAAACUCUGGGCUCAACUCAGAGCCUGCAAGCGAAACUGUGGUGCUGGAGUAUGGGAGAGGUGCGUGGAAUUCCCGGUGUAGCGGUGAAAUGCGUAGAUAUUGGGAAGAACAUCAGUGGCGAAAGCGCUCUACUGGACCUUAUCUGACAUUGAGGGACGAAAGCUAGGGGAGCGAAUGGG